CAGCACCUCAAGUGGUCAGGAUGAUUAUUGGGCCUAAAGCAUCCGUAGCCGGCGCUGUAAGUUUUCGGUUAAAUCUGUACGCUCAACGUACAGGCUGCCGGGAAUACUGCAGCGCUAGGGAGUGGGAGAGGUAUACGGUACUCGGUAGGAAGGGGUAAAAUCCUUUGAUCUAUUGAUGACCACCUGUGGCGAAGGCGGUCUACCAGAACACGUCCGACGGUGAGGGAUGAAAGCUGGGGGAGCAAACCGGAUUAGAUACCCGAGUAGUCC
rnacentral:rRNA from 1 species